GAUGAACGCUAGCUACAGGCCUAACACAUGCAAGUCGAGGGACCGGCGCACGGGUGAGUAACACGUAUACAACCUGCCUUUUACUCGGGGAUAGCCUUUCGAAAGAAAGAUUAAUACCCGAUAUAAAGGAUGGGGAUGCGUUCCAUUAGGUUGUUGGUGAGGUAACGGCUCACCAAGCCUUCGAUGGAUAGGUGUGCUGAGGGGAAGGCACCCGAGAUUGGAGAUGAGACACGGUCCACACUGCUACGGAAGUGAGCAGUGAGGAAUAUUGGGCAAUAGGGGCUAGCCUGAACCAGCCAAGUGGCGUGAAAGAUGAAUGGUUAUGGGUGGUAAACUUCUGUUAUAUAAGGAUAUGUAUUAUAUGAAUAAGGAUCGACUAACUCCGUGCCAGCCGCCGCGGUAAUAC
rnacentral:rRNA from 1 species